rnacentral:tRNA from 1 species
GGGAAUAGAUGGGUGCUGGUGUGCCCUCUGGUCUUCAAAACCAGUACAAGGGGUUAGUAGCCUCUUGGGUGGGUUCGAUUCCCACAUAUUCCCGCCA